GUGCAGCAGUCGCGAAAACCUCACAAUGUGCGAAAGCACGAUGAGGGAGUCCCAAGUGCUUGCACGUAAGUGUAAGCUGUUUCUCUGUCUAAAACGCAGAGAGAGUAAGGGCUGGGUAAGACGGGUGCCAGCCGCCGCGGUAAUACCUGCAGCUCGAGUGGUGACCGUUAUUAUUGGGCCUAAAACGUCCGUAGCCGGUUUAAUAAAUGCCUGGGUAAAUCGGACCGCUUAACGGUUCGAAUUCCGGGUAGACUGUUAAACUUGAGACCGGGAGAAGUUAGAGGUACUCCUGGGGUAGAGGUGAAAUUCUGUAAUCCUAGGGGGACCACCAGUGGCGAAGGCGUCUAACUAGAACGGGUCUGACGGUGAGGGACGAAGCCCUGGGGCGCAAACGGGGAUUAGAUACCCGGGGUA
rnacentral:rRNA from 1 species